AAGUCGUAACAAGGUUUCCGUAGGUGAACCUGCGGAAGGAUCAUUAUUACGAAAUCAAAAAUCGUAACCCCAAACAACAAAUUGUGAAUUUCUGUACUGUUCCGGUAGUUUCAUUUGACCUUUGUAAAGGCUUACUUUGAUGUGCUUGCUUCAAAAACAUGCAUAUUCAAAGCACUUCUGAGCAGAUGAAGUGAACGGGUCUUUUUCGUCGAAUGAUUUCAAACUACCGGUUAGUAUUAUCUGCUCACACACUUAACAAACCAUUAACCCCAUGUAACUAUUUUGAACUAAAUACAUCUGACGCAUGCAUCUCAUGUAUGUGUCUGAAUCAAAACCGAACUUAAGAACAACUCUUAACAACGGAUAUCUUGGUUCUC
rnacentral:misc_RNA from 1 species